rnacentral:rRNA from 1 species
AAGGAAUAUUGGUCAAUGGACGCAAGUCUGAACCAGCCAUGCCGCGUGGAGGAUGAAGGCCCUCUGGGUUGUAAACUUCUUUUAUCUGGGAAGAAACCCAUCUUUUCUAAGGUGGUUGACGGUACCAGAUGAAUAAGCACCGGCUAACUCCGUGCCAGCAGCCGCGGUAAUACGGAGGGUGCAAGCGUUAUCCGGAUUCACUGGGUUUAAAGGGUGCGUAGGUGGGCAGGUAAGUCAGUGGUGAAAUCUCUGGGCUUAACCCAGAAACUGCCGUUGAUACUAUCUGUCUUGAAUAUAGUGGAGGUGAGCGGAAUAUGUCAUGUAGCGGUGAAAUGCUUAGAUAUGACAUAGAACACCCAUUGCGAAGGCAGCUCGCUACACUAUUAUUGACACUGAGGCACGAAAGCGUGGGGAUCAAAC